UACGUAGGGUGCGAGCGUUAAUCGGAAUUACUGGGCGUAAAGCGUGCGCAGGCGGUUCGUUGUGUCGGCGGUGAAAGCCCCGGGCUCAACCUGGGAAUGGCCGUUGAAACUGGCGAACUGGAGUGUGGCAGAGGGGGGUGGAAUUCCGCGUGUAGCAGUGAAAUGCGUAGAGAUGCGGAGGAACACCGAUGGCGAAGGCGGCCAUCUGGACGGUAACUGACGCUGAGACGCGAAAGCGUGGGGAGCAAACAGG
rnacentral:rRNA from 1 species